rnacentral:lncRNA from 12 species
UGAUGAUCUCUUUUUGGAGCAUCUGGACUCACUGCAACACUGAGAGGUGGUCUUGGCAGAUAAAAGGGUGCAGGAGAAUGGCAACUCCAGCCCUCCAUUCCCUCAGGAGCAGAAGUGACUUUGACAUGGGUCUGAUGGAACCACGGGGGCUGCAAGGUGAUGAGGAUGUGGGGUUUUCACCAGUGCUCCAAACAGAUGUGGAUGGGAAACACUAAUGGGAAACACUAAUGGGAAACACAGUGGGAAACACUAAUGGCUCUCCCAGGCCUGGA